rnacentral:lncRNA from 1 species
GUGAACCGUGUCCCUGGAUGGACUACAGAUUAUGAUUUGGGAAAUUUGUACAAUCCCCAAAUUUAUAAUAGAAAUUACAGUUCAGACCUUAAGUAAUUUUAAAAUUCCAAAUAAAAUGUAAUAGUAUAAAGAGGAUUUACGGUUACAAAAACUUUAUCAAUUUUAUGAAUGAAACACUAAAGUUCCAUUUUUCCAUCUCUCAAAUCACCUCCGGGUAAAUCAGUCGAGUAAUCCGACCAUCCCAGCUCACCACCCGAUCUUCGAUGCCUUCAUCUCGAUCUCUCCAGAUCCGAUUUAUCGUCCUGUUCUGCCGAAUUGAGCCCUGCCCCCAAAUCAGCUUCACAGCAGUGACUUGACCAAGCUAAGACUCAAUAUCAGGAGUAUAUCUCCGUUGAGCGCUGUUCGGACACCCGUGAUUUAUCUCGCGGAUCUGAGGCAACACCAAUUUACAGGUGAACUCCUUUCAUUUGUAACGAUCUGACUUAGCUCGUAUCAUUUGGUGCUUUCUUAAGUUGAACUCUAAAUUUUUUUCAGAUGGCUAAUAACAUAGACCUAUCAUCCAAUCCGAAUUUCCUACGUCUGCAAGCAUUACAAAUGAAUCAGAUCAAGGAUAUGGGCGAACUGAUAAAUUUAGUGAACUAUAAUUUCCUACAAUUGGGGAAACAAUUCUCUGAUUUAUGUACAAAGAUCUCAAGAAUUAAAGAGGGGUCUAUACCUGAAAAACCUCCGGACCAAGUAAAACAUCCACUAAAUUACUACCAAUCAGUGGUAGAUCUGGACAAAUCUAGCUAUGCACUAUCAGUUUUGGAAGAUCCAAGCUACAUACCAGCUAAGCAUAUUAAGGUCAAUAUGCCAAGGUUCGAUGACACUGAAGCAAAGCACUGACUUUAUUCUGUAACAAGAUAUUUUAUAUUUAAUAAAGUACUCGAAGACCAAAAAUUCUAGAAAUAACUAAAGUGGUCCAAGAAUACUGUGAUCUCUUUGAAGACCCAUGUGGGCUACCUCCUCACAGUGAAGAUAAUCAUUUAAAUCACUUGGAUCCAAGUUCAAAAUCAGUGAAUGUAAGACCAUGAAGGUAUCCAAAAUUUCAGAAAUCUGAAAUUGAAAAGCUAAUUUCUGAAAUGCUAAA